rnacentral:sRNA from 1 species
CUUCAUUUCAUUGGCAUAGGCUCGUGAACUAUCAUACAAGUUGUACAAAGAUCAUGCGCAACAUCUAUCAUCCGUAUACACGUGCUCGUCCGAUGCGCGUUUGAUCAUUGCUACGCAAAAGCAACUUCUAAGAAAGAGUUGUCUGCCGACAUAUAAGCAAUGGACUUCACUGCUCUGUUGACUUGACUCACAGUCAUAAGCCUUCGUGGUACCAUUGGCAGGUCUUUCCGUCCCUUCUUCCAACUCGGGUAGCUCAGACGUUUCUGGCAUUGCCUCCUGCAAGAACCUAACCGUCUCUUUAGGCAAAUGCGCAUACUCAAAAUCAAGGUCAGUGACGUAUGGUUUCUCCCCUGCCAUGCCUCUGAAAGCUUCGCGCAGUUGCUCAGGGGAGGACGCAUCGUCUUGAGUAAUGUUGACGAGCAGACUGAGCCAUGCUUCGUAUGUGACAGCGCCAAAAUGUUGUUCUAGCUCGGAGAAAAUCGUUUCCAGUUCUUCCUCCUAUGAGAUAAUGGUAAGCCUAUGUUGACACUCUGGACAUAAUACCUACAGCGUACACGAUACCUAAACUCGCCAAUGCUGAAUGCAUCUCCCACAUCCCAAGGGUCUGUCAUGCUCGUCAUCAGCUGGUCUCCCACAAAGAUGGAAUAUCACUCACAUUUGUCUCCUCCCAUGCAAAAUGCUUGAACGUCGCCUCAAACUCUUCCAACUUGGCGGGUGUAAUAUUGGUGUGUUGGGCAGAUACCAGCUGUGACAUCAUAAGCACAAUUCUCGCUUAUCUCCAGAACCGACUGACUUGGUUAUCUAUGAACGCGAUCUUCUUUUUCAACCCCACCUCCGCCAGCUCCAGCUCAUACUCAAGAUCGUCCACAGUCAAAACAGUAUAAUCAUUCUCUUCUACCUUGGCUUCAAGGCAGCUAUUGUUGAGAUCUGAUAUUUCUGUCGAUAAGAGUUUGCAAAGGGAUGGUAUGGAGGAUGAUAGUUGAGAAAGAGUCUGUUUUUGUUGCUAUACGUAUACGAUAAGUUCAGUUGAACAGAGGUGACUGACAGAAAACCAAUACUCACUGGUAAAGGUCCGGCUAAGGCGCCAAUCGCCUGUUCAAUCUGCUGUAAGCGAUGGAUAAAGUCCUCUGCCGCUCUCGCAAAUUUCUUUUUUAAAGUCUCUUUGAUACUGUGUCGUGUCAGGGUGACUCAUUCCAGCCGGCGAGCACAAAGUGAAAAAAAAAAAAAAAACGUACUCUCUUACGGAGGCGUUUAUAGCUCGACUUCUCGCAGUUUCCGACACCAAAAACUCUGCCCACCUCUUCUCCAGGUCCUUCAUAAACCACCCUUCGCUCGGUUCCCAAGUAUUCAAAGAAUACGUCUUGAUCUUUGUCUGGAUAUUACUGUACAAUGCAGCAAGCUCUUGUCGCUCUUUUACCCAUUCCCGUUUAGAGGUGCGUUUGUAAUCAUUGAAUUGGGCAAGAUAUGAUAUAGCUUCCGGGUAUGUUGAGGGUUGAGGCGCGAUGAACCAGGACUGUUCGGUGGCAGAAAGCGCCGAAAGAAGGAGGUCCAGACGGCGCUCAAAAUCAUUUUUAUUGGCCCUGGAUGCCAAUAUUAGGGCGAGAGUCCUUUACCUGAGACUGGACACUCACCAGACGCCUUGCAUCACCUCUGCAAACUUUUCGACCCGCCUAGCACCCGUUUCGGCUUUGUCUGUGAUGGAUAUUAUGAGUUGGCGGCGCGCUAUAAUCUAUUGCUGUGGGUUAUGACACACCUUCGCUCGAGAACUUGUGGAAAAAUUCAGCAACGUAAGUCAUUACAGAUCUUUCGUCCGGGACUUCCACAUCGCACAAAUCCUUCACUUCAAGCAGACGCUAUAAGGGAACUCUGUCAGCUAGUAACGGUGGUAUACGGAAGAAUUGAACCUUACAGGGAUACCAAGCUUUUCUUCAGCAACUUUGAAAGCAAGUUCAGUGUUAUUUCGCUUGUCGUUCUUGUCCAACCCAUGAUAAUCUAGUAGCUCCGGACGGUGGUAAUGAAUCAGAGCACAUCUGCAGUGCAAGUCAGUCACCUACCCCUAGCCUGAUCAUAUUGAGACUCACAAAGCUAGACCAUCUGCAAAACUUCCUUUGAAGUUUUGUACGUCCACCUCUGGGUUAUAGCCAGCUGUCUUUCUUUGGCACCAGAGCAGCAGACCAUCCCUUGCCGAUAACCCAGAUUCUCU